GCACAAGCAGUGGAGUAUGUGGUUAAUUCGAAGCAACGCAGACUACAGGCUUGACAUCCCUUGAAGCAGCUAGAGAUAGCUGUGGUCCUUCGGGACAAGGAGACAGGUGGUGCAUGGUUGUCGUCAGCUCGUGUCGUGAGAUGUUGGGUUAAGUCCCGCAACGAGCGCAACCCUCGACCUUAGUUGCCAGCAUUCAGUUGGGCACUCUAAGGUGACUGCCGGCUAAAAGUCGGAGGAAGGUGGGGAUGACGUCAAAUCAUCAUGCCCCUUAUGACCUGGGCUACACACGUGCUACAAUGGGCGGUACAAAGGGUCGCGAACCCGCGAGGGGGAGCCAAUCCCAAAAAGCCGCUCUCAGUUCGGAUUGCAGGCUGCAACUCGCCUGCAUGAAGCCGGAAUCGCUAGUAAUCGCGGAUCAGCAUGCCGCGGUCGAAUACGUUCCCGGGCCUU
rnacentral:rRNA from 1 species